rnacentral:rRNA from 1 species
GAUGAACGCUGACAGAAUGCUUAACACAUGCAAGUCGAUGGGGAAGUGGUGCUUGCACCAUGGUAACCAUGGCGGACGGGUGAGUAACGCGUAAGGAACUUGCCUGCGGGACUGGGAUAACAGCAGGAAACUGCUGAUAAUACCGGAUAAGGUCAUUAAGCUGCAUAGCUUAGUGAUGAAAGGAGACGCCUGCGGAGAGCCUUGCGUCCUAUUAGCUAGUUGGAGGGGUAACGGCCCACCAAGGCGAAGAUAGGUAGCCGGCCUGAGAGGGUGGACGGCCACAAGGGGACUGAGAUACGGCCCUUACUCCUACGGGAGGCAGCAGUGGGGAAUAUUGGACAAUGGGGGCAACCCUGAUCCAGCAAUUCUGUGUGCACGAAGACGGUUUUCGGAUUGUAAAGUGCUUUCAGCAGGGAAGAAGGAAGUGACGGUAUCUGCAGAAGAAGCGACGGCUAAAUACGUG